UCACAUCUUCAUUAUUGCUUUUUAGUAACUUUUGGUGACUACACAAUACUUCAAUUUGGUAUACACGGUUACGCAGAAAAUCUAUGAGAGCUUUUUAUUUUCAGUUGGAAUUUCGUUUUUAACAAUGCUACCAACCAGACGUACAAGCUUAGGCCGCAGAACUCGAAAUACGGCAAGUCAAAGAAAUAUAAGAGCAAAUCAAACUGAUGAGCAUCGCGAAGCGCGAAAUGAACUUGAACUGAAUCGAUAUCAAGAUAGAAAUGUUGUGUUUAAUCCCCACAAAGCUGCAUUCAGUUAUAAUGUGGCAAUUGAUUACAGUUCAGAGCAAAUUGUUGCUAUUGGACUAAUGAACAUUGUGUGUCCACAUUGGGAUUGAAAUUAAAAAAUUAAGCCUCUGGAUUGUGUUGCGCCAGCGGCCAAGUCAAAUUGACGCCAUUGGUACCGCCACCAGAGCCACUACAUUCAUUGGUUCAUUUUUUGACUCAUAUCCAGCAGUACAAUAAUUGCUUUCAAAUGACAUCAUUCGGGGCAACAAAAGUUAUACGAGACAAUUUUUUGCCCACUUUUAGCAAAUUCAGGGAUUCAAAUAUAUCAUCAAACAGGUUCCUUAUUGCCAGUGCCUAUUGAAGACUAUACAUUUUUGCAAAUAUAUUUUAUGGACAAUUCAGCAAGAAAAGUCGAUCAGCGUUGCGCACACAACAACUCAGUAAAGAGAUCCAUUGUGAUGAACAACUUCAAACAUUUUUCCUUCAACACAAUGAAUUAGUUGCAUUAGACCGAUGCAUUAGACAUUCACAAAUGCAUUAGACCGCAUGCCAUCAGAUAAUCACAAAAUUGUCAUCAGAGCCGAUAAGGCGCCUGCAGGACAGUGAAAUGAUUGAAUCCUAUGAAAUAAACACUAUUAUGAAAAUA